rnacentral:rRNA from 1 species
AGAGUUUGAUCCUGGCUCAGGAUGAACGCUAGCUACAGGCUUAACACAUGCAAGUCGAGGGGUAGCAGGAUCUAGCAAUAGAUUGCUGACGACCGGCGCACGGGUGAGUAACACGUAUCCAACCUUCCGUUUACUCGGGGAUAGCCUUUCGAAAGAAAGAUUAAUACCCGAUAGUAUGUUUUUCCCGCAUGGGAGAACCAUUAAAGUUUUUCGGUAAUCGAUGGGGAUGCGUUCCAUUAGGCAGUUGGUGAGGUAACGGCUCACCAAACCUUCGAUGGAUAGGGGUUCUGAGAGGAAGGUCCCCCACAUUGGAACUGAGACACGGUCCAAACUCCUACGGGAGGCAGCAGUGAGGAAUAUUGGUCAAUGGACGAGAGUCUGAACCAGCCAAGUAGCGUGAAGGAUGACUGCCCUAUGGGUUGUAAACUUCUUUUAUAUGGGAAUAAAGGAGCCUACGUGUAGGUUUUUGUAUGUACCAUACGAAUAAGGAUCGGCUAACUCCGUGCCAGCAGCCGCGGUAAUACGGAGGAUCCAAGCGUUAUCCGGAUUUAUUGGGUUUAAAGGGAGCGUAGGUGGAGGCUUAAGUCAGUUGUGAAAGUUUGCGGCUCAACCGUAAAAUUGCAGUUGAUACUGGGUUUCUUGAGUACAGUAGAGGUGGGCGGAAUUCGUGGUGUAGCGGUGAAAUGCUUAGAUAUCACGAAGAACUCCAAUUGCGAAGGCAGCUCACUAGACAGGCACUGACACUGAUGCUCGAAAGUGUGGGUAUCAAACAGGAUUAGAUACCCUGGUAGUCCACACAGUAAACGAUGAAUACUCGCUGUUUGCGAUAUACAGUAAGCGGCCAAGCGAAAGCAUUAAGUAUUCCACCUGGGGAGUACGCCGGCAACGGUGAAACUCAAAGGAAUUGACGGGGGCCCGCACAAGCGGAGGAACAUGUGGUUUAAUUCGAUGGUAAGCGAAGAACCUUACCCAGGCUUGACAUCCUUGGAAGGCAUCCGAAAGGAUACUGUACCCUCGGGAACCAAGUGACAGGUGUUGCAUGGCCGUCGUCAGCUCGUGUCGUGAGAUGUUUGGUUAAGUCCAUCAACGAGCGCAACCCUUUUAGUUAGUUGUAUUUUUCUAGCUAUACUGCCCCGGUAACGGGGAGGGAGGAGGGGAUGAUGUCAGGUCAGUAUUACCCUUACGCCUGGGGCUACAAACACGCUACAAUGGCCGGUACAGAGGGCAGCCAACCCGCGAGGGGGAGCAAAUCCCAUCAAAGCCGGUCUCAGUUCGGAUAGCAGGCUGAAACUCGCCUGCUUGAAGCUGGAAUCGCUAGUAAUGGUAGGUCAGCACACUACCGUGAAUACGUUCCCGGGUCUUGUACACACCGCCCGUCAAACCAUGAAAGUCGCCAAUACCUGACGUGUUAGCUUGUCUAGCCCUAAGGUAGGGGAGAUGAUUGGGGUUAAGUCGUAACAAGGUA